CGAACGGGUGAGUAACACGUAGGUAACCUGCCCAUGUGCCCGGGAUAACUUCUGGAAACGGAUGCUAAAACCGGAUAGGUAGCAGACAAGCAUUUGACUGCUAUUAAAGUGGCUAAGGCCAUGAACAUGGAUGGACCUGCGGUGCAUUAGCUAGUUGGUGAGGUAACGGCCCACCAAGCCUUCGAUGGAUAGGGGUUCUGAGAGGAAGGUCCCCCACAUUGGAACUGAGACACGGUCCAAACUCCUACGGGAGGCAGCAUG
rnacentral:rRNA from 1 species